rnacentral:piRNA from 1 species
UGCAUUCAGUAAAUCCACUAGCCACUCGGA